GUAAGGGUCAGGGUUAUAUAAUCCAACCAGGCACCUCAGACUGGAAAAGUAUCAAAAGUAUCCUCCUCAAUUUAAAGGUUGUUGUUGUUAACAAUGCCAAGGACACUGGUUAAAUACUCCAACAACCACAUGUAUCACAGACUCUUAGUUUUCUGAUUCCUGCUCUUGACCUUGUGACGGACCACAGCAACAGUGGUGAAGAAGUUUCCCAUGAACAAAAUGAGGAAGCAGAGACCACACACCAUGACCUGGCAUUAAGAGAUGAAUACAUGAUCUGGGAGCUGCGCCAUUCGGAAGAGAGAGAGGCUAUUGAAGAGCUGCCAGAACUACAAGACAAAACACGAGGACUUCAGGAUUUGUCUUGUAAAAAGUGAAUGAAUUGAUUUGCAGCUGUACAAACACAGACACGCUAAAGCUUAAGCUGUUAUUCAGAUAACCAUCAUCCUAAACAUUGUCCCAAAUUGUGCCUAAGUCUAGAAUGACAUCAGCAUUUUCCAUCAGAUUUUUUUAUCCAGCCAUGACAAAGCAUAAUUUGUUAAGCUUAAGCUCAGUUGUGAAUCAUCUCAGUGUCCAAGACUGUA